rfam:Lingula anatina scaffold1091, whole genome shotgun sequence.
GGCCGGGUAGCUCAGUAGGUAAGAGCACUCGCCCUGUAAGCGAGGGGUCCCGGGUUUGAUUCCUGGUCUGGUCG